UACGAAGGGUGCAAGCGUUAUUCGGAUUUAUUGGGUGUAAAGGGUGCGUAGACGGCAUAUUAAGUCCGCUGUUAAAUUUCCCAGCUUAACUGGGAGCCAGCGGUGGAUACUGAUGUGCUAGAGGAUGGAAGAGAGAAGUGGAAUUCCCGGAGUAGCGGUAAAAUGCGUAGAUCUCGGGAGGAACACCAAUGGCGAAGGCAGCUUCUUGGUCCAUAUCUGACGUUGAGGCACGAAAGCGUGGGGAGCAAACAGGG
rnacentral:rRNA from 1 species